rnacentral:lncRNA from 1 species
GCAAAACGAUUGUUUGUCAGAACAACACAAUGGAACCGAAACAGAUUAUAGGAAUAAAAUAAAAAAGAAACACAAGAAAAAAUUAAAAAAGAAAGAAAAAGAAAAAUUGUGCUAGAGAAAAAGCUUUGCAUAAAAUAUUCUCUAGAAAGAAAUUUGGGAAAAAAUGGAAACAAAAAGGGAUUGGGAUGUGAAAGAGAGAGUGUGGGUAAGUGGGAAAAGGAUGGUUAGGAAGAGAAGAAUCAAGAGAAAAUCCCUUAU